ACCUACGGGGGGCAGCAGUGGGGAAUAUUGGGCAAUGGGCGCAAGCCUGACCCAGCAACGCCGCGUGAAGGAAGAAGGCUUUCGGGUUGUAAACUUCUUUUGUCAGGGACGAAGCAAGUGGCGGUACCUGACGAAUAAGCCACGGCUAACUACGUGCCAGCAGCCGCGGUAAUACGUAGGUGGCAAGAGUUAUCCGGAUUUACUGGGCGUAAAGGGCGUGUAGGCGGGACUGCAAGUCAGAUGGGAAAAACACGGG
rnacentral:rRNA from 1 species